rnacentral:lncRNA from 1 species
AGAAAACUCUACUGCUAUAUCUGAAUAUUUAUCGCUAAAAUAUUAAUCACAGCUUGAGUUAUGCAUACAAAGUGACAGCUAUGAAAAGUUGUUUUUGUGCCUUUGCCUUUAGAAAACUAAAAAAAAUAAAGACAGGUUUAGAGGUUUUUUGUUUUUGUUUUUGUUUUGUUGUUUUGUUUUGUUUUGGAUUUUAUGUUACUGGAUCGCCAUAGUACUCUGGGAAACUGAUACUGAUGAACAUUAAUUUAUCUUGUAAAUAUCUAAGAUUCUGUAAUGUCAUAAUCUCUAAUAUAUAUCAUUAUUUCCCUGAAAGCCAAAGAUGUGUUCCACUUCUUACAGUGAAAGGUAUUUUAAUCUAUUAUAGAUUUUUUGUCAUAAUAUUAAUGAGAUGAAUCAUAGUUUUGUUUACUUUUCACUCUUUGAAAAUAUUAUUUUUCUUUCUUGUACUUUCAGAUAAACCCAGAUUCUAGAAUAUUCCAUCUAUCAAUGUCAUUCUGCUUAGAAGAAACCAGUAUUUACUAAGAGUCUUGUUGUGUGUCUCAACAACAUAAUGCAAACAUUUUCUUAUUUUCUCAUAAGUGCUGUUCUUUCUCCAAUCCAGUGACAUAAUGCAAACAUUUUCUCAUUUUCUCCUAAGUGCUAUUCUUUCUCCAAAUCUAGCACCACAAAAGAAACAAAGCAGUAGGCAAUAACAGAAGAAAGAAUUUCCAGUUAGUAAUAAUAUGCUUCUGCUUCGUGAUUUGCUGUGUGAUUUGUGUUAUUCUGUGUUAGGGCUGGAAAUAGCUUAAAGCUUUAUCCAGGCUAGCCCCUUCAUUUUACAGAAACAGAAAGAAGAAUCCAGAAAGAUGACAUGAGUUUGCCAACUCAACAUAAUCAAAGAUGUGAUCUUUCUUUUGUGUCUCAGUAUGUAUGAUAUUACAUAUUUUGGAAAUUAGCCUGCAUAGUAUGUUUUUAAAAUAUAUAUUCAGUAAUCCCAAAAGAAAUAUGCCACAUUUUAUUUUGUUGAAACAAGUAGGAAAAUAUAUACUCUUCAUAGUUAAAAUGCAUAUUGAAACUUGAGCUUUACCAAUUUUUUUUUCUAGAUGAUCACUCUGUCACCAGGCUGGAGUGCAGUGGCAUGAUCUCGGCUCACUGCAGCCUCCACCUCCCAGAUUCAAGCCAUUCUUCUGCCUCAGCCUCCCGAGUAGCUGGGAUUACAGGUGCGCGCCACCACACCCAGCUAAUUUUUGUAUUUUUACUAGAGAGGGAUUUCACCAUGUUGGCCGAGGCGGGCAGAUCACUAGGUCAGACGAUAGAGGACCAUCCUGGCUAACACGGUGAAACUCCGUCUGUACUGAAAAAAAAAAAAAAAAAAAAAAAAAAAAA